rnacentral:lncRNA from 1 species
GACCCAAGUCCUAAUUGAACUAGGACUAGUUUUUUUCUUACACUUGGCUUAUCCAAUAAACCAAUUGGACUUGAUCCAAUCAAGCCCAAAUCAAAUCUAAUUAAAUUAUAUUUAAUUAGACUUAAUCUCAGCCCAUUGACUUAAUCAAAUUAAGCCAAUUAGCAAUCAAAUUGCUAAUCGAUCCUCCUGCAACACUUGCACUGGGUUAAAUGUCAAUCGUAUUGAUCAUUUAACCCUAGAACGAUUCUUAAUCGUUGAUCAACCAUCCG